rnacentral:rRNA from 1 species
UUGAACGCUGGCGGCAGGCCUAACACAUGCAAGUCGAGCGCGAAAGGUUUUCGGACUGAGUAAAGCGGCGGACGGGUGAGUAACGCGUGGGAAUCUGCCCAGUAGUGGGGGACAACAGUUGGAAACGACUGCUAAUACCGCAUACGCCCUACGGGGGAAAGGGGGGGAUCUUCGGACCUCUCGCUAUUGGAUGAGCCCGCGUCGGAUUAGCUAGUUGGUAGGGUAAAGGCCUACCAAGGCGACGAUCCGUAACUGGUCUGAGAGGAUGAUCAGUCACACUGGAACUGAGACACGGUCCAGACUCCUACGGGAGGCAGCAGUGGGGAAUAUUGGACAAUGGGGGCAACCCUGAUCCAGCCAUGCCGCGUGUGUGAAGAAGGCCUUAGGGUUGUAAAGCACUUUCAGUGGGGAGAAAGGUUUGUCACCUAAUACGUGAUGAAAUUGAUGUUACCCACAGAAGAAGCACCGGCUAACUCCGUGCCAGCCGCCGCAGUAA